rnacentral:lncRNA from 1 species
AUGAAAGAGGAGGAUCUACAACGGCUAUUUCACCGCCCCCCGGGUCCCCACGCCCUCCCGGGUUGGACGACAGCAGACACUGGCCGGCCGCACCCCCCGAUCCCCUCCCCCUCGCUGCCGUCCAGCCUCCGGCCGGUUCCCCAGGAAACCCCGGUCAACAGCAGCCCGCGCCCCAGCGGGGUCGGGGAGGCGGGCAAGGCCGGCAAAGAGGGGCAACGCAACCGUUUUUACCAGCCCAUAAACACCCUGGGACUAGGAGGCGGACACGAGGACGGCAGCAGUGUUGGCACCAGGACCCUCAACACUUCUGAUGCCCUGAAAGUUGGACCCCUUGCACAUGUCAGCAGCUGCAACAAUGGUGGUGGUACCUUUGGUGGGCAGUGAUGACACGGCUUGGAGGACUGGCAGCAGUUAGCUGCUUGUAUCAGGUCCUCAUUCCCACUUUCGUGUCAAUGAAGAGAACAGAAAUAAGAUAAGCCAGAGAAAUAAG